GUGGAUUAGAUACCCUGGUAGUCCACGCCCUAAACGAUGUCAACUAGUUGUUGGGGGCCUUACCGCCCUUAGUAACGCAGCUAACGCGUGAAGUUGACCGCCUGGGGAGUACGGUCGCAAGAUUAAAACUCAAAGGAAUUGACGGGGGCCCGCACAAGCGGUGGAUGAUGUGGAUUAAUUCGAUGCAACGCGAAAAACCUUACCUACCCUUGACAUGUACGGAAGUCCGAUGAAAGUUGGACGUGCCCGAAAGGGAGCCGUAACACAGGUGCUGCACGGCCGUCGACAGCU
rnacentral:rRNA from 1 species